GCCUCGUUGACGCAGUUGGCAGCGCGUCAGUCUCAUAAUCUGAAGGUUGUGAGUUCAAACCUCACACGAGGCA
rnacentral:tRNA from 1 species